rnacentral:rRNA from 1 species
AACGUAGGAGGCGAGCGUUAUCCGGAGUUACUGGGCGUAAAGCGCGCGCAGGCGGUUGAGUAAGUGACUUGUGAAAAUGCCCGGCUAAACUGGGCGAGGUCAGGUCAGACUGCUUGGCUGGAGGGUGGUAGAGGAGCGCGGAAUUCGGGGUGUAGCGGUGAAAUGUGUAGAGAUCCCGAGGAACACCAGUGGUGCAAACGGCGCUCUGGGCCACUACUGACGCUGAGGCGCGAAAGCGUGGGGAGCGAACGGG